AUCAAGGAUUGUCGUGGAUGGGUUAAGUCCACAUAAAGUUCUUUUUAUGCCUUGAGGCCAAGGACUUUUAAACUAAUCAGAUUUACAUGCAUGCGGGCUUAGGCCUUGGAUCUGAUUUAAGCAUUGAAGAUAUAUUUAAAUCGGAUCCAAGUAUUGAGAAAGCUUUGUCAUAGUGAUUUUGCUAGAAACAAACUUGCAUAUAACUAAAAAUAUACAACAUAUUGCUAGACUUUAAAGAAAGAGAAGACAAAGACAGAGCAAAGCAGGUCGGGCAAGAUUAAACCUUAUCAAUUAAGGCUGAUCGUCUUGCAGGUCCCUAUCUUUGUGGUUCUGUCAAAGGUCUAAAAGCUUAAAGGUGGAGAGGGGAGAGGAGAAUACAAAAGGGUGAAUCGAUACUACAACAAGUUAGAGCAGGGUAGCAGAGCUAUUACAAAGUUUAGGAGAAAAGAUUAUCCCGAGGGGGAUGAAAGCUUGGGCUGACUACAGCUUCGUUUUGAAAGGCAAAUCUGGCUUUUUGAGCAGAGUUUGUGCUUUUGUUUGUUUGUUUGAGUGUCUUUAUUCCUGUCUUCUCUUCCUCCUUUUAUAGACUACUCGGUUUGGCUUCUGUAGCGACAGCUUUGCCCGAAUGCGGUCUGAGGGUGAUGACUCAUCAGCUUUAUUACAUGUAAUGCCACCAUAAAGUACUUUAUGGGCUGUGCAGUCUGAUCAGUCUACACCACUUGGUCCUUGGGUAGGUAGGCAAGUGGCCUUUGUGAAUUGUAUCAAGUCAGAAAAGGCCCUGUCCUGCCUUCCCAAGUUUUGGCUGGGCUUUGAUCUUCUAUUCCUCCAGGCCUCCUUUUGGGCCGACUCCAUCCUUGGGCCAAAAAUCAAGUUUCAAUCUAAACAGUGCCCCCUUCAAUUAAUGUGAAUGUUGGAAUCCCAAGCGUCGACAUUGAUUGAAUACCCGCAUGCAUGCAUAUUCGUCCUUGGGAAUUGGUGCUUCUGGUUCCCCUUGCUCUUCUCAUGACCCUUGAACUGUCAUUUGAGCCCUAUAAAAUCUAGCUCGGGACUUCUCCUAUCAAACUACCAACUUCCCUUUAGCUCUGGCCUUCAACUUCCAUCCAACUUGAGCUUUCUUGUUUUCUCUUAGCAACUGAGAAAUGGGUUCCUUAUGUUUUGAGUGGAGUUUCCUAAAACUCCCCUUUCGCGAGAAAAGGAGGUUUCACCUGAUGACCGCUAUCUCUAACACCCUUGGUCGACCGCCCCUCUAUCUCCAACACCCCUGAUCGGGCGGCUUCCUCCCGAUGGUUUGCCUUCCCGCAAGUUGCGGUGAUAAGUUGAGCUUCACCAUCACAUAUGGUGACAGCCCCGUUGGAGGAUCCUCUACCAGGCUCAUGUUGGCCGCACAACCCGAUCACCCGAUUGGGUUCCAUCCAUGAAGACGUCGGGAAACCAGCUGAAGACACCACCAAACUCAGAGAGAAUUAAAUGUAAUACAUAGGAUUGGAACUCUGUAAUUUUCAUCAAUUUGUCGACAUGAAAUAAAUACUAUUUUAGCAAUUUCUGUCUUUCUGCCUUCUUUGAAUGUUUGAUGAACAAAAACACUGCAUAUGAGAUUCCCGAAGCUCGCUUCAUUCUGCCCGAUCUUCAAUGUAACAAUCCCUAACAUCCCAUAAUGUAGGACAAUAUUUCUUUAAGAAUCUAACAUUAAUGGGAUGUUUCUGCCCAUUUCCUUCGAGGUCCGCUAGGUAGUAUCCUCCUUUAUUCAAGACUCGACUAAUAAUAAAAGGACCUUCCUAUGUCGGGCUCCACUUUCCAAAACCCCGAAGCUGAGCUCCCAGCGGGAGAACUGUUUUCCAUACUAAAUCUCCCUCUUUAAAAGACUUUACCUUCACCUUCUUGUUAUAAGCUCGGGCAACAGCUAUCUUUCCUUCUUGAAUCUGGUUCAAGGCUUCAAUUCGGGCUACAUCCAGGUCUUCAAUACCUUGACACAUGGCUUCAAUAUAUUCUGCACUAUGUAACCCAAAUUGGUUUUGAAUUCUUACGGAACUAACGUUGAUCUCCAUGGGAAGCACUGCAUCUUGCCCGAAUGUCAAGGCAUAAGGAGUUGUGCAUGUCCCCGCUCUUUUGGAAGUCCUGUAUGCCCACAACGUGUUCCCCAACAUCUCAUGCCACUUUUCUGGACUAUCUAUCACCAUUCUUUUAAUAAUGUUGACCAGGAUCUUGUUGCUAGCUUCGGCCUGCCCAUUUGACUGAGGGUAGUACGGACUGGAUUGGAUCAUCUUUAUCUUGUACUUGCUUGCAAACUCCUCGACUUCUUUUGAAAUAAAAGAUGGCCCACGGUCUGUCACUAUAGUCUCGGGCACCCCAUAUCUGUGCAGGAUCUUGGUCUCGAUAAAAUUCUUGACUACGGUGGAAGUUAUGGAUUUUACUGCUGAUGCUUCCACCCACUUGGUGAAGUAAUCCGUUGCUACAAUUAUAAAAGUAUGCCCUUUACUGGAAGCUGGAUAAAUUUGCCCGAUGAAGUCCAUCGCCCAUCCUCGGAACGGCCAAGGCUUGACCACUGGAUUCAAAGGUACUGAAGGCACGUGUUGGAGAGGUCCAUGCCUCUGACAUUCUUCACAACCGCGGGCAUAAGACUUGCAGUCUUUUUCCAUGUCGGGCCAGAAAUAACCGUACCUUCUGAGUAGCCAUCUCAUCUUUGUCCCUACUUGAUGUGCUUCACAUAUUCCCUCAUGUACUUCGGCCAUCACUCUCAUGGAUUCUUCCUGGCCUAAGCAUUUUAACAGUAAUCCAUCUGGGGUUUUUCUUAGCAAGUUCUUCGCCCAUAAGACAUAUUUGGUUGCUUGCUGCCUAUUCUUCUUACUUGUAGGUGAAGAGGGAUCAUUCAAAUGAUGAAUGAUGGGUGCCCUCCAAUCCUCCGUCUUGGCUUCUAGAACCAUUACAUCCAAACUAAAUCCCCGAUCUAAGAUGGAAGGAAGGUUUCUUGUUUGAAUCUCGACAUCUAUUCCAUACUUUCUUUCCUGUAUUGGCACUCCUGAGGCUAGUUGCGCCAUUUCAUUGGCUGCCAAGUUAGAUCCCCUAGGAAUAUGAUUGACCGAUAUCUCAGAUUCCCAGAAACUCAACAAUUGUGUUGCUGCCAUAUAGUACCCCGCCAUAGUGAUAUGUCUGCACUUGAACUCGCCAUUUAGCUGGUUUAUUACCAACUCUGAAUCACCAAAGACUUCUACUUCUGCUGCCCCCAAAUCCAACAGGAUUUCCAGACCAAUAAUCAAUGCCUCAUACUCUGCCCAAUUAUUAGUAUUUUCUUGGUAAUCGAGCAGGAAUGAGUAAUAAUGAUAAACCCCCUGAGGAUUUAUAACUACAAUCCCAGCCCCUGCAGCCUUCUGAGUGUGGGAUCCAUCGAAAUACAGCUUCCAAAGAGUAAUCCAGAGGCCCGUUACUCUUCUUAUCUCUUGCUGGAUCCAAUCUUCUUUGCCCGAAACAUCACUUCUUGGUGGGAUCCAAACGCUAGUAACCUCCAAACUUCCUGGGAUAUUGAUUACCUCACUUUGAGGUUCCUGAUGCUCGGUCAAGAAAUCAGCAAUUGCCUGGCCUUUGACUGCCCUUUGAGGUACAUACUGAAAGCUGAAUUCUGACAGUGCUAGAAUCCACUUCCCAAUCAUUCCUGCUAGCAUAGGUUUUGACAACAUGUACUUUAUCACAUCUGUUUUGGCAAUGAUGUGUACGUGACAAGGUAACAUAUAAUGUCUUAGCUUGCUGGCAGUAAAAUAUAGAGCCAAACACAAUCUCUCCACCGGAGAAUAUCUUGUUUCUACUUCGGUCAAAAUUCUGCUGAGGUAGUAUACGGCCUGCUCCUUUCCACCUUCAUGAUUUUGAGCUAGCAAACUCCCAAUUGACUUUUCCGAAGCAGAAAUGUAUAGCUUCAAGGGUUUUCCCCUUUGAGGUGGUACCAGCACUGGUGGAGAAGUUAGGUAGGCCUUGAUGCUGUCAAAUGCCUGUUGGUGGGUCGGCCCCCACUCGAAAUUCUCUUUAUCUUUCAAUCUUAGUAAAGGAGUCAGCGGCUGGAUUUUGCCUGCUAAAUUGGCAAUGAAUCUCCUCAAGAAGUUGAUCUUGCCUAGUAGCCUUUGAAGCUGCACUUUGUUGGUGGGUGAAGGUGAUUCCAAUAUUGCCCGAGACUUGUUCUUGUCCACUUCCACACCUCUCUGAUGCACCAAGAAUCCUAAGAAGUUGCCCGCCCUUACUCCAAAUGCGCACUUCUUUGGAUUCAUCUUCAAUUUGUGGAUCCGCAUCCUUAUUAAUGGUUGCCUGAGAUCUACUAGAUGUUGUUCCUCUGUUUUAGAUUUCACCACGAUGUCGUCGAUAUAUACCUCCAUGCUCUGGCCAAUUAGAUCAUGAAAAAUGGCAUUCAUUGCCCUUUGAUAUGUUGCGCCAGCAUUCUUGAGCCCGAAUGGCAUGACCAGAUACUCAUAUGCCCCCACAUGACCAGGACACCUAAAAGCUGUUUUAUGAAUAUCAUCUGGAGCCAUCUUUAUCUGGUUAUAUCCGGCAUUUCCAUCCAUAAAAGAUAAAACUUUAUGCUUUGCUACUGCAUCUAUGGAUAAAUCAGCCAUAGGCAUGGGGUACUCAUCUUUUGGUGUAGCGCCAUUAAUAUUUCUGUAAUCAACACAACAUCGUACUGCUUUUGUUACAGCUUUUAAAACGGGUACGAUGUUGGCCAACCACUCCACAUAUUUGGCUGGUCUGAUAAAGCCAGCUUUCACUAGCCUCUAAAUCUCUUCUUUGACCUUUUCUUCUAUCUCCUUUGACAUCCUCCGUGGUGCUUGCUUGACCGGUUUAUAUCCUUCCUUGAUGGGCAUUCUAUGUUCCACCAAGGCUGGAUCUAACCCUGGCAUCUCGGUAUAAUGCCAAGCAAAACAGUCUUUGAAUUCUUGCAAAAGAUAAAUAAUCAUGGCCCGAUCCUCGGCCCCUAAUAAACCACUGAUCUGUAUUGGUCUUGGAUCCUCCUCUGUGCCUAGAUCAAUAACUUCCAAAGGAUCCUGUACUUCGGGUGAUGGCUUAUCAGGUUCUGCACAUAAAAAUUCGACCAACUCUGGGCUCUCGGGCAAGUCGUCUGGCCCAUCUAGAUCAUAUAUGCACUCGGCCAUUUGAAUGGCCCUAUCCAGUUCUUCACUACAAGAUUCCUCUUUAUUUCUAUGCUGGCUGGUCGAAGAUUCUCCCUACCAUUCUUGCUCUUCCUGCUCCCUCUCUUGUCUUCUUCCCUUCCCAUAUACCAACAGUAUUUUAAUCAGGUAUUUGACUGCCAUGACCUGAUCUUUCUUCUUUUGUCCAGUCAUUGAUGGUGUAGGGAUUUUGGUAUAAGACAGGGUCUAUCCCACUCCUCCUUAGUAAGGAGCAUUCCUUGUUCCAAAAGCUUUUGGGCCGUCACCUUAGUAGGGCGGCCGUUCUUAUCAGCUCCUGAACAUUUCAAGAUUCCUACGUUGGGAUUGUAGAAACUUGCUUCCGCAACAUUGGCUGAGGGGAGGAACGGCCGUGUUUCGGCCUCUACUAUCUCCCAAAAGCCUGGUCCUUCAACACCCGCCUCAUGAUAUACAGCCACUUGUUGAUGAAGAGUGGAAGGUAUGGCUAAACUUUGAUGGAUCCAAUCUCUUCCGAGUAAGGCUCCGUAAGUGGAGGUGCAGUCCACCACAAAGAAUGCUAGCAUUAUCUUUUUGGAUCCCAAGUCCACCUCCAAAGGUAAUAUCCCAUGAGUCUUAGUGAUAGCACCUGAGAAGCUAAAUACCGUAAGGUCCGUGGGAAUAAGAUCUUCCGUACCUCUCCCCAUCUUCUUCAUCUGCUUGGCCGGUAACACGUUAACAGCUGCUCCUCCAUCAAUCAAAAUUCUUUUGAAGGGCACACCCUCUAGGUGAGCUGAAACAUAUAUAGGCUUCAGAUGGUUGGCUAACGAAAUACUCGGGCGGCUGAACACCAUCUCAUCUGUGUAAAUCCUUAGAGGACCACCGUUGGAUGCCACUAAGGGCUCAGCCUUGCCCGAGUCUUCUUCUUCCGCUAUAUCCACAUUGACUUGUGCCGUCAUUGGCUCUGUUGUUAAGUAAUCACCCUCAAUAGUAGCAGGCUGACCAGGUCUGGCACCAAACGUGGCGGAUAAUAUAUACGCCAUGUUAAUGUGGAAAUUACUGGGCUCGAGUACAUCCUCCUUCUUGCUCCCAAUUUGGUCCAUGAACUCAUCUAACCAGGCCAUCGCAUCGGCUGGAAGCAGAGGUUCUGGUAUCCCCUCCUGUUGUGGUUGAUCCAUGCCCUCGUACAUCGUUUGUUUCGGAACUUCACCAAAGGGAUCCACCAAUGGCAUAGAAAGUGGUUUCGCAAAUGUUCCCAUGUGAAUAGGCUCCGGCUUCCAUCCAGGAGUUGGUACCAUGAUCAGAUCUUCUUGAGCUCUUCUCAAGAUCCUAUACUUCCCAGGAUGUUGGUUCUGCGGCACAUGAUCCCCCACCCCCUCUGCUUUGCUGUUGGCUUUCUCUACCUCCUUCUUAUUUUGCCAACGGAGCUGGCUACUACCUCCAGAUGUUGCUAUUUCCAACUUUUGAGUUUUUGAGGUUUCAGAGGUAGUGGGGGUCUUUGAGGAAUUCAUGUAGGCCUUGUGCUGCCUUUGAACCCUUCUGAUCAUAGAGGCGCCCAUUGGUUUGGUAGGCUGUCCGUUCUUCCCGACUACAUACCAUUUUCGCCCGAGGUGGGCAGGAUUCCCUUUUCUGUUGGGAUUAGCUAUCCCAUCAGUUCUCUUGACUUCCCUCCCCAUCUGGCCAUUCUGAGGAUGAUAUGCACCUCUUUGGAUUGUGGCCUUCAUUUUUUCUCCCUCGUCAGAAGCUUCAUGGUUUCGAAACACUUCUGACAAAGCCUUGGGUUGGGAAUCACCUCCUAAGCGUUGAAAAACACUUCGGGAGGUGUCCUUCCUUGUUGCCUGCUUAUUUUUCUCGCGGGCUUCUCUUCUUGCAUCUUCUUCCUUCCUCCUGAUUAACUCGUGAUCAAUGAGAACUCCAGCCGAAGGAAUCUCGAGCUCACACUUACACUGGCAUUUACUGCACAUAACCAUCCCCUUGAUUAUGGCAGCAUUUGGAUACUCGGGUAGUUUGUCUAUUCUCUCUGUAGGUUUUUUGGCCAGUCUUUCUUCUUCUUCCCUUGUAAUCUUCCCUUUUCCUUUCUCCGCCCACGUCAUAUUGAGCAUAUUUAUAGGGGCCUCUGAAAAGGGAAAUGCAGGGUUGAUUACGUCCAUCCAGUCUGGCUGGUUGUUUUUACGUCUUUUUCCUUUGGGAGGAACCACAUCAAUAUCACUUCUAGAGCCCGUGGAGGCUUUCUCCAAGCGUUGCAGCAUUUGAAAUAACGUGGUCUGCAAGUCUUCUGGCAUAUCUGUUUCUCUAUCUUCUGAUUAGAGAUCCCACCGGGCGUGCCAAAACUAUGUUCGUGGCAGGAAUUUCCGCUGGGGAUGUUUCCUGGCCGACGAGCACACAGCUCCCCUGGAGGUUGGCGCCGGUUAAGGGCUGCUGUCGGGCUUCUGCUUCUGGGCGUUGUCGGGCAAGACUCUUCGGGCAAGACUCUUCGGGGAAGGCUCUUCGGGCAAGGCUGAAAGAGAAUGACAUCGUUAACUUUGAGAGGUGCCUUUGUGGGGCCUUAGGUAUAGGCCUUGAGGCUCACAAUCAAGGUUAACAUUUAGGUGCUCAGGCGUGCCACUGCCAUCUUUAGCAUGGCAGAUGUAAAAUGGUUGUCGUUCUUUCAUUGUAUAUAUAUAUGUAUCCAAGAAACCGUGUUAGUUAUAACAGGUGCCUUUGUGGGGCCUUAAAUGUAGGCCUUGAGGCUUCCCAUCAAUAACUAAACCAGUGCUCGAACGCAUCAUAUUUAUUCUUGUGAUUGUAGGAGUCUUCUAACUAUUAUAUUUCUGAUUACCCGAAUCCAAGGAAUAGAACGAACCCAAAUGGGUGCCUUUGUAGGGCCUUAGGUGUAGGCCUUGAGGCUUCCCAUCAGAGUUCAUUCUUAUGCUUAGACUCUUGAGAUCGCUGAAUAGGAUGAAUCCAAAUGGAUGCCUUUGUGAGGCCUUAGGUGUAGGCCUUGAGGCUUUCCAUUAGAGUUCAUCCCAUGCUUAAGCGUUCUAUGAUAAUCAUGAUAUAAUAGAAAGAAAACUAGAAGGUAGGUCGAUUACUUGCGCCCCAAGUAACUUCGGACUUCUCGUUUAUCAAGGAUUGUCGUGGAUGGGUUAAGUCCACAUAAAGUUCUUUUUUAUGCCUUGAGGCCAAGGACUUUUAAACUAAUCAGAUUUACAUGCAUGCGGGCUUAGGCCUUGGAUCUGAUUUAAGCAUUGAAGAUAUAUUUAAAUCGGAUCCAAGUAUUGAGAAAGCUUUGUCAUAGUGAUUUUGCUAGAAACAAACUUGCAUAUAACUAAAAAUAUACAACAUAUUGCUAGACUUUAAAGAAAGAGAAGACAAAGACAGAGCAAAGCAGGUCGGGCAAGAUUAAACCUUAUCAAUUAAGGCUGAUCGUCUUGCAGGUCCCUAUCUUUGUGGUUCUGUCAAAGGUCUAAAAGCUUAAAGGUGGAGAGGGGAGAGGAGAAUACAAAAGGGUGAAUCGAUACUACAACAAGUUAGAGCAGGGUAGCAGAGCUAUUACAAAGUUUAGGAGAAAAGAUUAUCCCGAGGGGGAUGAAAGCUUGGGCUGACUACAGCUUCGUUUUGAAAGGCAAAUCUGGCUUUUUGAGCAGAGUUUGUGCUUUUGUUUGUUUGUUUGAGUGUCUUUAUUCCUGUCUUCUCUUCCUCCUUUUAUAGACUACUCGGUUUGGCUCCUGUAGCGACAGCUUUGCCCG
rnacentral:lncRNA from 1 species